GGCCGCGUGGCCUAAUGGCUAAGGCGCUAGAUUUCGGUUCACCGUCAUCCCAUUCUCUAGAGAUUCCAGGUUCGACUCCUGGCGUGGUCG